CGUAGGGUGAACCUGCGGAAGGAUCAUUACUGUGAUUUACUACUACACUGCGUGAGCGGAACGAAAACAACAACACCUAAAAUGUGGAAUAUAGCAUAUAGUCGACAAGAGAAAUCUACGAAAAAACAAACAAAACUUUCAACAACGGAUCUCUUGGUUCUCGCAUCGAUGAAGAGCGCAGCGAAAUGCGAUACCUAGUGUGAAUUGCAGCCAUCGUGAAUCAUCGAGUUCUUGAACGCACAUUGCGCCCCUCGGCAUUCCGGGGGGCAUGCCUGUUUGAGCGUCGUUUCCAUCUUGCGCGUGCGCAGAGUUGGGGGAGCGGAGCGGACGACGUGUAAAGAGCGUCGGAGCUGCGACUCGCCUGAAAGGGAGCGAAGCUGGCCGAGCGAACUAGACUUUUUUUCAGGGACGCUUGGCGGCCGAGAGCGAGUGUUGCGAGACAACAAAAAGCUCGACCUCAAAUCAGGUAGGAAUACCCGCUGAACUUAAGCAUAUCAAUAAGCGGAAGA
rnacentral:rRNA from 1 species